AGUCCUGGAGAGUAGAGAAGAACAGCUCCCACUAGUUCAGCUUCAACACAAACCAUGUUCCCUGCAUCUCUGCUUCUUCUGCUGGCAGCUGCCUCCUGUGUCCACUGUCAGGUCGUACUCACACAGGCUGAACAGUCAGUCCAGGGGACCCCCGGGGGAUCCCUCAAACUCACAUGUGCCUGUAGUGGAAUCACUCUCAGCAGCAGUUACAUGCACUGGAUCCGCCAGGCACCUGGAAAGGGACUUGAAUGGGUCCUUUAUUAUUAUAGUGAAAGUAGCAAGGGCUAUUCUCAGGCAGUACAGGGCCGAUUCACAGCAUCGAAGGACAGCUCUAACUUCUAUCUGCACAUGAGCCAGUUGAAGUCAGAGGACUCUGCAGUGUAUUACUGUGCUAGAGACUCACUAUGGUUUAACUAA